CACGAAGGGGGCGAGCGUUGUUCGGAAUCACUGGGCGUAAAGCGCACGUAGGCGGAUCUUUAAGUCAGGGGUGAAAUCCCGAGGCUCAACCUCGGAACUGCCUUUGAUACUGGGGAUCUCGAGUCCGGGAGAGGUGAGUGGAACUGCGAGUGUAGAGGUGAAUUCGUAGAUAUUCGCAAGAACACCAGUGGCGAAGGCGGCUCACUGGCCCGGAACUGACGCUGAGGUGCGAAAGCGUGGGGAGCAAACAGG
rnacentral:rRNA from 1 species